rnacentral:rRNA from 1 species
UGGGGAAUCUUGGACAAUGGGCGAAAGCCUGAUCCAGCCACGCCGCGUGAGUGAUGAAGGCCUUCGGGUUGUAAAGCUCUGUGGGGAGGGACGAAAAAGGUCGUCAAGAUAACGGGCGGCCCUUGACGGUACCUCUUUAGCAAGCACCGGCUAACUCUGUGCCAGCAGCCGCGGUAAGACAGAGGGUGCAAACGUUGCUCGGAAUCACUGGGCGUAAAGCGCGUGUAGGCGGGUCGGCAAGUCAGGUGUGAAAUCCCUGGGCUCAACCCAGGAACUGCAUCUGAAACUGCCAGCCUUGAGUGUCGGAGAGGGAAGCGGAAUUCCUGGUGUAGAGGUGAAAUUCGUAGAUAUCAGGAGGAACACCUGUGGCGAAGGCGGCUUCCUGGACGACUACUGACGCUGAGACGCGAAAGCGUGGGGAGCAAACAGGAUUAGAUACCCCUGUAGUCC